AUAUGUACGAAAGCGUGGGGAGCGAAAAGGAUUGGAUACCCUUGUAGUCCACGCCUUAAACUGUGGAUACUAGGUGUUGGGAGAUUCGACCCUCCCAGUGCCGACGCAAACGCAUUGAGAAUCUCGCCUGGGAAGUACGGCCGCAAGAUUAAAACUCAAAGAAAUAGACGGGGACCCACACAAGCGGUGGAGCAUCUGGUUCAAUUCGAUAGUAAGCGAGGAACCUUACCUAGGCUUGACAUCCCAAGAAUCCCUUGGAAACAGGGGAGUGCCUCACGGAACUUGGAGACAGGUGCUGCGUGGUUGUCGUCAGCUCGCGCCUCGAGGUGUUCGGUUAAGUCCGUAAACGAGCGCAACCCACGUCAUGUGUUGCAUAUUACACGUGA
rnacentral:rRNA from 1 species